rnacentral:rRNA from 1 species
AUGCUUAGUGGCGGACGGGUGAGUAACGCGUGAGCAACCUGCCUUUCAGAGGGGGACAACAGUUGGAAACGACUGCUAAUACCGCAUGAAGCAUUGGGAGGGCAUCCUCUUAAUGCCAAAGAUUUAUCGCUGAAAGAUGGGCUCGCGUCUGAUUAGGUAGUUGGUGAGGUAACGGCCCACCAAGCCGACGAUCAGUAGCCGGACUGAGAGGUUGAACGGCCACAUUGGGACUGAGAUACGGCCCAGACUCC